rnacentral:tRNA from 1 species
GGAUAGGUGGCUGAGUGGUUAAAAGCAUCAAUUUUGAAAAUUGACAUAAUAAUCUUAUCGUGGGUUCGAAUCCUACUCUAUCCG